CUGUAGUAUACUAAAUGACCUCUGGAUCAAGUUUUGGAUCCUUAACAUGGCUUACAAGGCUCUUCACGCUGUAAUCCUCUAAAUUAAUGUUUCUCAUGGGUGGAAGCCAGAGCAGUGUCUGCACUUGCACUCUGGGCCCGGGAUGCGCAGGGCCUUUCCUGAGCCCUGCUAAGUCUCUCUGCCAGUAUGGUUUUCAUUACCGAGGG
rnacentral:lncRNA from 1 species